CGGGCCGUGCGGGCCGGGGGAGUUGCGUUUCCUGGCGGAGCGAUAUUUGUUUACGGGCUGCGCUGUAAGUAAAGUAGGACCCGGCCCCGGCAGCGCGGUGAUCAAUUAAUUGUGCGGUCGCUCGCGCGGCUCCCAAAAGAGAGAAAAAUCAGAGCCCCUCGUGCCGGCCCCCGUGCACUUGUUGCAGACUUGGCGCCAGAUGGAAUUUUGUAACUGGCUGGAUUCUGAAUAGGGCAAGGAGAUGUGUCUGAUAAGAUACAUCACUUUGAGAUCACAGAAUGAGAACGGCAUGAAAUGUUAUGGCGAAGACAGCACGGCAAGAUACAACAGUCUCACAAGUAAUCAAAAAUCAGAUGCCUGGCACACUGAACCUAUUACUGUGUGUAAGAUUUGUGCUGUGGUCCAUUUUUUGAAGAUGUGAAGCAACGUUGAGUCUGAUUGGAAUUACUGACAGACUGGAGGAAAUCUUAGUCCUUCUGUUGCACACGCACAUGCUGAAUUAUAAGUAAUUCCUAGCUUCUCUUCCCGCCCCUCACUCCCUCACUCAGCUAUCUCAGGGUUCAUAGAGAUUUCAAUGGUUCGCGUGCCUGUAAGAU
rnacentral:lncRNA from 1 species